rnacentral:lncRNA from 1 species
GGCUGCAAACACCAUGUGUAGCCUCUGCCCAGGGCCUGGGACAGGCAACCCUGUUGAACGGUGCAAGGACAAUGAUGUCACGAUGUCACCUAAGCCUGAAUGGGCAGGACCUGGCCAGAAGUGCCACAGCGGUGAGUGGUCAAGGCUCAGGGGCCCACAGGAGUCGCAGCAGCUCUGCUGGCUGCAGUUGCCACCCUGGGUCCCUGCAAGCCACCUCUCACUUGCCACCUCUCAGGCUGCUUUUACCCCAGAUGGGUGAGGGCAGAAAAGGCCACGGGGUCCCACUGCUUCAGAGCCACUCAGCAGGAAAGCCCAAGAGAUUGGGGCGUCCUGACCCACACCGUCACUUGCAAGCACUCUGACAUCUGGCUUCCAUCUCCUGCCCUGGCCCCAUCAGAGACACAGCCUUCAGACUG